GUGAACGCUGGCGGUAGGCCUAACACAUGCAAGUCGAACGGCAGCACAGUAAGAGCUUGCUCUUACGGGUGGCGAGUGGCGGACGGGUGAGGAAUACAUCGGAAUCUACUUUUUCGUGGGGGAUAACGUAGGGAAACUUACGCUAAUACCGCAUACGACCUACGGGUGAAAGCAGGGGAUCUUCGGACCUUGCGCGAUUGAAUGAGCCGAUGUCGGAUUAGCUAGUUGGCGGGGUAAGGGCCCACCAAGGCGACGAUCCGUAGCUGGUCUGAGAGGAUGAUCAGCCACACUGGAACUGAGACACGGUCCAGACUCCUACGGGAGGCAGCAGUGGGGAAUAUUGGACAAUGGGCGCAAGCCUGAUCCAGCCAUACCGCGUGGGUGAAGAAGGCCUUCGGGUUGUAAAGCCCUUUUGUUGGGAAAGAAAAGCAGCAGGUUAAUACCCCGCUGUUCUGACGGUACCCAAAGAAUAAGCACCGGCUAACUUCGUG
rnacentral:rRNA from 1 species